CCGCCCCCGGCUCCGCCUCGCGCCCCGACACCGCCAGCCGUCCCUUCCCGCGCGCACCUGCCCGGGAGCACCCAGGCUGGAGGCCGCGGUCAGGGCGACCCCUGCGGGCCGGCGGCGGGAGCCCGGCGUGCAUUCCGUGCGCUCGCGCGGGAGUGAGGACGCGUUCUCGGCUGCCUGCAGGUACCUCAGCCCGCUCGGGCCAGCUGCGGUCUCCUCAGCCCGGCUCCCUGAGGAAAACGAGAGGACCAGCUCCUCCCCCCGGACAUGCUUCCCUGCCCGCCCGCAGUGACACGGACCGUGGUACCUGAGGGAGCACCCCGGAGCCCAGAGCUCAGAACCGACUGAGAAGUAAGAAAAAGCAGUGGAGAUGGAGACCAAAUGAAGGACAGACCGGCCUGCCCCAUGGAGGCUGCCCCGUCGGUGUAUUCCCUGGAGGAGCAGGAGGGAUUCUUUCUGAGGCAGGAAGAUUCCAAAGAGGAAGGGAAGAGAGAGGGAGCUGCUGCAAUGUUCCCAAACAAGUCAGGGACAAGAUCUCUCAUUACUAGUGUUUCGGUUAACCGUCCAGUGCUGUGUGCCUGGGUGGCCAUGGAAAAUGCCAGGAGCAGAACCAGCCAGUCUCUGAGGCUCCUCCCCACUUCCCUCUGCUGACCUGUGGCCCCAGGGCCUCUUGGUGGGCAGGAGCUCUGGCCCCGCCCAUUCUUACUGGAGCAGAAGGUUCUGGGUGAUUCACACACGGAGAAGCCUGAGAGUCUGUGUUAGAAGACAGAACUCAGAGAGCUGUCAGUGCGAGUCUCAUAACGAGAUGCCGGAAGUUAGUCAUCAGAGAACAGAGCGGAAGGCUGUCCCGGUGGCCUCAGAGUCAGAGUCACGUGGUGCUAUCUCAGACGGUGACUUAGACACGAGGGACAGUGGAAGGUAGAAAAGUACAGGCUGCUGGGGGCCGUGAAGGCUGUGACACUGCUGUCAGCGUGACAAACAGCCAUGUUUCCUUAGCCUCCCCGUGGAUGUCUGACUGGUUGGAGAAGCUAGACAUGCAAAACCAGUUCAGCCCUAACAAUGAAGUUCCCAGAAGACUAGACGGUCACCCGGCGCCUCCCGUGAUCGGACAGAAAGGAGCUGGCGGGAGUCCAGCAUUCUCGGGGUGCCUUGGUGAGUUAUGCCUGAGUGCCAUGCCACCUGCAAAUACAGGCUGCACAGUGAGGGCAUCUGGAGAUGGAAGCCUGCAGUGACCCAGCCCGUGGAGUGUGCAUUCCAGCUGUUAGGAGGGUUUGCCCUCCUGGCACCACGUUUUUCAUCACUGGCUUUGAUUACUUUGGCCUGGACUUGGAGCCCUCUGCCUCUGAAGAGCCAGCGGAGCGCCUGGCACCGCAGCUCCAUAACUAGGUGGCAGCGGUGAGUGCGUCAUUGUCCCCCCCAUGACCCAUCGUGUGCCAAGGGCCACGCCACAGGCCAGUGGGCCUUGUUGCCAAGGAACCUAACUGAAAGUUUGCAGGCCAGAGUCCUUAGGGAAAUGCUGUGCUGUUUUUGGAAGGGGACUUGUUCAAUAUACGGCCUGUAGAGAACACAGAGGGUGCUAGGAAUGCAGACAGUUUGCAACAGCCUUCCAGAAGUUUUGUGAAGACCAGACGGCCAUGCUCCUUAGAGGAACUUGUGUGUCCCGGGUCACUCGUCCUUUGAUCCUCGGUGGUUGGCAAUGGGAUGAGUAUCUGCCUGGCGCCCAGGCUCCUGUCCUUGUCCCCGAGUCACUGCUCACCGUGGCCGCCACCCUCUGGCCCUCAAGAGGUGUCAACAUGUCAUCCCAACAUCAGAACCCAGGCCUAACCGGGGCCACACAGACAUCCUGAGCUGACCACAGCGCAGCUAGGACCCCUUGUAGCUCAGGGGCCACAGCAGAGACUUACGACAGGAGGUAUGACAAGACUCGCUAGCAAGGCUUGCUGUGCAGGGCAGACCGCACCUGUCCUGCCCUGAUGGGACAGGGGACAGAGCACAGGUGGGCAGGUGACUGCCUGUCCAUCUCCCACGCUGCAGCCCCUUCCAUGUGGCUUGUCCCCACCUCUUCCUGGGAGGAGGAGGGUGUCAUGGUUGAAUUCAGCUUCUUCACAGCCUCGACCUGGGAGGCUUCUCUGGUUAUGUGGGGGGAGCCUCAUAAAGAUUGUGUCGUGUGAACUGUGGAAAUAAAUGCUGUCAGAGUUUAGUUCCCCAUCUCUGCCAUUCUAAAGGGAAAAUGUAGGAGGCUAUAGAUAUUUAAAAAGCAAGCAACCAA